CUUGACCGCUGGCGGCAGGCCUAACCCAUGCAAGUCGAACGAGUGGCGGACGGGUGCGUACUGUCUGGGAAACUGCCUGAUGGAGGGGUAUAACUACUGGAAACGGUAGCUAAUACCGCAUACCCUCAGAUGUGCCCCGAUGGGAUUAGCUAGUGGGUGGGGUAACGGCUCACCAAGGCGACGAUCCCUAGAUGGUCGUAGAGGAUGACCAGCCAAACUGGCACUGAGACACGGUCCAGACUCCUACGGUAGGCAGCAGUGGGGAAUAUGGCACAAUGGGCGCAAGCCUGAUGCAGCCAUGCCGGGUGUAUGAAGAAGGCUUUCGGGUUGUAAAGUACUUUCAGCGGGGAGGCGUUACCCGCAGAAGAAGCACCGGCUAACUCCGUGCCAGCAGCCGCGGUAAUAC
rnacentral:rRNA from 1 species